GUACUGGUGGUUCACUGGUAGAAUUCUUGUGUUCCAUGCAGGAGACCAGGGUUCAGUUCCUGGCCAAUGUA
rnacentral:tRNA from 1 species